GUUGCUUGUUAUAAUUAUAUCUUGAAUUGUACAUAUUGUUUAUCAUUGCCAUAACAUUAUGAUUUAGUAAGUUUUAGUAUGUUAUAUAUUAACUUGGAGAACUAUUUGUUAUAUCUUGUAUUAUGUUGAUAUUUAAGCUACAUAUAUAUAAACAAAGUAAACCAGAUUGAAUUAGUGAAUGAAGGAUUAUCAGCAUUUGGUGCAAUACCCGCAAGGGUAGUCGCCAUUAAACUCUAUUUAGUAGUAGCAUUAUGCAGAAGAUAUCAAGAAAGAAAAUAUAGUUGUAAUUAAUCAAAUCUAGGGAAUAUGAUAAUAUCCUCAUACUUUAACUAAAGCCUUGGUUAAUAUUUUCAAGCAUACCUAAUAUAUCUUUCUAUGUCCCCACAGUAGCAGAGGGGACAUUCAGUUUUUUUCUUUUCCGAGAAAUAAUUUCAAAUUACAAUUUUUAUAAUCAAUUUGGUGAAAUUUUUGUUUUAUGCAAUAGUGUUAUACUUGAUUCAUAAAUUGUGAUAAUUUAUCAAUAUUUUAAUUUUACCUUUAUUAUUGUCAAUAUUCAGAUUCUUGGCAAAAACCAGACAAUCAUGUUCUAAAUUUGAGAUUGAACUAUAAAAGCGAGUUUUCUAAAUUUUCUCAUCCAUACAUAAGAUCUUUUAUUUAUUUUGUAUGGUAAGUAAUGUGGAAAUAUAUGUAUAUAUUUGUGCCAGAUAAUGCAUUUUUAGAAAGAAAUAAUUGAAGAAGAAUGAAUUGAUGAAAAAAGAAAUUAUCAUAGAAAUGCUUACAAUGUUUUAAAUUUGUGUGUUACGGUUUUACUGUCCCUGGUGUUAAAAAACAGAUGAGAAAUAAAUCUUUUGAUCUCCUAUUUGAAUAAAUAAUUAACUUUCAAAAAUAUUCAUAUUCAAAUAUUCUCUUUUAAAGACCAUUUAUUGACAUCUAAACAUGUUGGUUUUUUUUUCGAAUUGAUGUUUCAUUGACAAAAACCAAAGAUCACAACUUCUAUUCAUAUGUUUUUCACCAAAUAUCCAUAGUAAUCCCUUGCUCAAAAGACUUGAUUUGUUAUAAACAAGUACAAAAUCGCAUUUGUGGGUGUGUUGAUAAUGUAAUCAUUUUUGUAUUUAUUGAAUUUAGGACAAAUUUUGGAAAAAAUUCCAGGAUUUAAAAAAAAAUUAUACUGGUAGAUAAUUUAUCCAAAGAAAUCCAUCAUUUCUAAGAGUCAACUAUGUCACACCAAGUCCUGGUUAUCAUAAUUAUUUGAACCUGGAGUUAUUAAAAAUUCUAAAUUAAAAGAAAAAAACUCUUGAUAUUAAAGUGUAUAAGCUUGAAUAGCAACUAUGUUUUAAAAUUGAUGACCUGUAUGGACUAUAGCAUUUGUAUCUAUGCUGAUAUUAUGUCAUUACAAAUAGGGCUGGUGAGAGCUAUUCCAUUAAAAUGUAUGUGGGAGGAUAGGAAGGGAACUUUAAUUAUUGAAUGUUGGUCAUGAGUCUUUUUUCAGUAUGCGUCUAAUACCAUCAUGCAAAAUUAUCUAAAAAAUGGUUCUUGGUUGUAGGGACAUCCCUACCCUCCUACAUACAUUUUAAUGGAAUAGCCCUGAAAGUAAUUGUCAAAGAUUUUCUUAGUAACUUUGACACAUUGUACUCUUGAAAAAUAAAUUAUAAGAGAACAGUUAGUUUCAUUUUUGUCAUUAUAAAUCAUCUUCUCGUGUGAUAUUACAUUAUACAUAUUUUGUCAACUCUACAAGUAUUUAAUCAGGAUAUACGUGUUUGUCUUAUGCCAGUAUUAUUGCUUUUUGAUUGUCUUCAUGAAUGCUCUAAAUAAUCUAGUAAUGUCUUCAUGUAUGCUCUAAAUAAUCUAGUAGAUAUCUAUAUAGUAGACAAUUAAAUCCUGUAACUAUUGUUGUACAUUUUGAUAGUUUAAAAACAUUGAUCUGAAUACUGUGGUGUAUUUAACUAUAAUCACAGGAAUUUUUACUGAAAAGAAGUGAAAUAAUGUGGGCAAAUAAAGUAAGCAAAAUGAAAUUGAAUUUUAGAUGGAGGAAAAAAACAUGUGUCCUAUUCAAGGGCCCUGUACUUAAAGGUUUUUCAAUUUUUUAUUUUGAUAUAUUUUUUCUCUAGCAAAUUCAAGUUACAAGUCAAAUGGAAAUUGGGGGUUGGGGUCUUUAAAACAGUGCCUCCCAUGCCCCCUUCCUAUCCCCAUGUGUUUGAUUUUUGAACUGCCUUUAUGAACAUACAUUAACAAAACCUUGGCUUUAAUCAAUGAUAUAGUGUAAUAUCAUUAUUAAAUAGGUCAACUUUCCUUUUUAUUUUUGGUACCAUGAUAUAUAUAUACUAUUGUGCAGAAACAAACCUUAGACAAAACCAAAAUAGUUCUUACCCUAUUAGAGAGAAUUAAAAUUGUGAUCAAUAAAGUUCAUCCAUCAAAUAAGUUUUAAUAACUGCAUUACAUGGAUUUUUAAUGCAUAGUUCAUUUUGUUGAUUUCAGAAACUCAUAAUAAACAAAACAAUGCAACAAAAUAUUGACCUUAUUAAGGGUUUAUCUUACUGCUCUAAUAAAUUCAGCAAUAAGCUUGGAACUAUGUUAUUUGUAGAAUUGUACUAUCAGAUUAUUGUCUUGUUGUAAAUUAUUUUAUGUGAUAUUAAGAUGGUCACACAAUUUCAUAUUGAUAUAAAUGUAUUGCAUGUAAUAUUUUGCAAUUAUUUGUGUGAUGGUCAAUUUAUCAUGCACAUCACAAUGCAAU
rnacentral:lncRNA from 1 species